UGAUUUACAGACACGGAUGUCCGAAAAGAAUUCUGUCAGAUCAAGGAAGAGAAUUUGUCAAUGAACUCAACCGCAGCCUGUGUGAGAUGUUGCACAUUGAGAGAAGUGUAACUGCAGCCUACCAUCCACAAACAGAUGGACUGGAUGAAAAAACAAACGACAAUAUAAAACGAGCUCUGAAGAAACUGGUUAACAACCAGCAGAAUGACUGGGACAUCUAUCUGGAUGCAACAUUAUUUUCUUUAAGGUCAAAGGUCCAUACAACCACUAAACAUUCACCAUUUCUGCUUAUGUACGGAAGAGAGG